rnacentral:rRNA from 1 species
GAUGAACGCUGGCGGCGUGCCUAACACAUGCAAGUCGAGCGAUUCUCUUCGGAGAAGAGCGGCGGACGGGUGAGUAACGCGUGGGUAACCUGCCCUGUGCACACGGAUAACAUACCGAAAGGUAUGCUAAUACGAGAUAAUAUGCUUUUAUCGCAUGGUAGAAGUAUCAAAGCUUUUGCGGUACAGGAUGGACCCGCGUCUGAUUAGCUAGUUGGUAAGGUAACGGCUUACCAAGGCGACGAUCAGUAGCCGACCUGAGAGGGUGAUCGGCCACAUUGGAACUGAGACACGGUCCAAACUCCUACGGGAGGCAGCAGUGGGGAAUAUUGCACAAUGGGCGAAAGCCUGAUGCAGCAACGCCGCGUGAGCGAUGAAGGCCUGCGGGUCGUAAAGCUCUGUCCUCAAGGAAGAUAAUGACGGUACUUGAGGAGGAAGCCCCGGCUAACUACGUGCCAGCCGCCGCCGUAAAAC